rnacentral:rRNA from 1 species
CCUACGGGUGGCAGCAGUGAGGAAUAUUGGACAAUGGACGAGAGUCUGAAGCAGCCAAGUAGCGUGAAGGAUGACUGCCCUAUGGGUUGUAAACUUCUUUUAUAUGGGAAUAAAAUGUUCCAAGUGUGGGAUUUUGUAUGGACCAUAUGAAUAAGGAUCGGCUAACUCAGUGCCAGCAGCCGAGGUAAUACGGAGGAUCCGAGCGUUAUCCGGAUUUAUUGGGUUUAAAGGGAGUGUAUGUGGAUUGUUAAGUCAGUUGUGAAAGUUAGCGGCUCAACCGUAAAAUUGCAGUUGAAACUGGCAGUCUUGAGUACAGUAGAGGUGGGCGGAAUUCGAGGUGUAGCGGUGAAAUGCGUAGAUAUAACGAAGAACUCCGAUUGCGAAGGCAGUUCACUGGACUGCAACUGACACUGAGGCUCGAAAGUGUGGGUAUCAAACAGGAUUAGAUACCCCAGUAGUC